rnacentral:rRNA from 1 species
UUGGAGGNAUGUAUAGCGAANGCUAAUUGUGUUAACAGUAACGCAAUAUCAACGACGUUGAAUAAAAUUCUGGAUAAGAUUUUGAUAAUGACAAUUUUUAUCCAUAUGUCUUGACCAAAUUACGUGCCAGCANUCGCGGUAACACGUUGAAGACUAGUGUUAUUCAUCUUUAAUAGGUUUAAAGGGUACUUAGACGGCAAAUAAAGCCUUAAUUGGAACUAAUUUGCUAGAGUUACUUACGAGGGAGCCUAAAAGUACUAUUGGUUUAGAGAUAAAAUUCUUCGAGACCACUUAUCAGUGGAUAAAAAAUGGCACAGGUAAAGGCGAAAGCGUCUCCCUAUGUGAUAACUGACGUUGAAGGACG